rnacentral:rRNA from 1 species
GACGAACGCUGGCGGCGUGCUUAACACAUGCAAGUCGAGCGGUAAGGCCCUUUCGGGGGUACACGAGCGGCGAACGGGUGAGUAACACGUGGGUGACCUGCCCUCAGCUCUGGGAUAAGCCUGGGAAACUGGGUCUAAUACUGGAUAUGACUCCACGGUGCAUGUCGUGGGGUGGAAAGCCUUGUGCGGCUGAGGAUGGGCCCGCGGCCUAUCAGCUUGUUGGUGGGGNGAUGGCCUACCAAGGCGACGACGGGUAGCCGGCCUGAGAGGGCGACCGGCCACACUGGGACUGAGACACGGCCCAGACUCCUACGGGAGGCAGCAGUGGGAAUCUUGCGCAAUGGGCGAAAGCCUGACGCAGCGACGCCGCGUGAGGGAUGACGGCC